AGUGAACGCUGGCGGUAGGCCUAACACAUGCAAGUCGAACGGCAGCACAGUAAGAGCUUGCUCUUACGGGUGGCGAGUGGCGGACGGGUGAGGAAUACAUCGGAAUCUACUUUUUCGUGGGGGAUAACGUAGGGAAACUUACGCUAAUACCGCAUACGACCUACGGGUGAAAGCAGGGGAUCUUCGGACCUUGCGCGAUUGAAUGAGCCGAUGUCGGAUUAGCUAGUUGGCGGGGUAAAGGCCCACCAAGGCGACGAUCCGUAGCUGGUCUGAGAGGAUGAUCAGCCACACUGGAACUGAGACACGGUCCAGACUCCUACGGGAGGCAGCAGUGGGGAAUCUUGGACAAUGGGCGCAAGCCUGAUCCAGCCAUACCGCGUGGGUGAAGAAGGCCUUCGGGUUGUAAAGCCCUCUUGUUGGGAAAGAAAAGCAGCAGGUUAAUACCCCGCUGUUCUGACGGUACCCAAAGAAUAAGCACCGGCUAACUUCGU
rnacentral:rRNA from 1 species